rnacentral:lncRNA from 1 species
CUAUUUAGAAAGGUGGCAUAUUUCAACAAAAUGUAUCACAUUUGAUGAGAAAAUUCCCACCGGGCACUGGUUGAAUCAACGUGAUUCCACCAAAUGAAAUGAUGUUGAACCAACCUGAAUUAGACGUUGAAUUGAGGUCUCUACCCAGUUGGUUGUCAUUUUCCCUGGUAGGCCUAGGCUAUCAAUAGCUCCGCUAGAAAUGGACAACAAAAGUAUGAAUGUGGAUGAUGCUAUUUUUAGGACCUGUUACAGGCUACAGCAGCCACGUAUUUUCAAAAGACGCCCAAACCAUAUUAUCUUUCUCCAAUGCAACUCCAGCUUCUUUCGCUCUUGGCCACGGUAGCGCUUGUAAUAAAUAGCCUACAAAUAAAUUCAAGUGAAAUCUCUGUGUAGUAACGCGGGGAGUCCCCCGUCGCGGUUGCGAGAUACCCAGCUGGCUCGAGCCGGAGGGGUGCUGCGGCGGGUACCCCCCCACGCGCACUCUGACAGUUAGUAGGUUUGUAGGCUACUCACGGAGACGGAACCUGCAUCUGGACUGACAGAGAGAUAUUACUACAAGGCUAUAACACAAGACGACUCACAGGGAAACGCUCACUAGGCUUCUAACUAGCAUAGCGAGUGGAUUAGACCGAGGUUUUCCGUUUUGCUAGACAUUUCACAUUUUGGACAAGGGAACAGUGCGUUGCUACUUAGCUGCACAUGGGACAGUUGUAAGUUCAAAAGUGAAAACCAAUAUCAUUUAAUUUCACUAAAUUACAAGGAGCACAUUGGAAUUACUAUAUCAGACUUGCUACUGAGAAGAAGUGUGUGUGUGUGUGUGUGCGUGCGUGUGUGUAUGCGAGAGUGAGAUAGAAAGAAGAGCAAGAGCAUCUCUGGCUCAGAGGUAGUUGACAUCCUCCUCCUAGAAGUCUAAAACAAGGGGCUCUAACAUCAGAGAGAGACACAGCCACAGCCCUUCUCCCCUUCCCCUCAUCCUCCUUUCUUCUCCCAUUGGACACAGAGAGAGCGAGGGAAAGAGCGAGGGAAAGUGAGAAAGAAGAGGGAGACAUGUAUCAAACACUCCUCCUCUCCUCCUCGCUCUUCAUCCUCCAUGUGACGGCCACUCCACAGUUCCACGGUCACCACGGGAGGAGGGUGUGUGGCAGAGAUAUUCAUCACAGCAGUGUCAUCACGACGACAGAGUCGUUCGUCCAGCCCGUUCACAAACCCUACAUCACCCUGUGUCAGGGGCACCGCCUCUGUAGCACCUACAAGUAAGUGACACAGCCAUGACUCUCCUGACCACUACUGUUGCUAUCACUGUCAAUAUCUCUAAUGCUAUCAAUGUCAAUAUCGCUAUCGCUGCCAAUAUCUCUUGAUAGCUCUAUCGCUGUCAAUAUCUCUAUUGCUAUCACUGUCAAUAUCGCAGUCGAUAUCGCUAUCACUGUCAAUAUCUCUAUCGCUAUCAAUAUCGUGAUCGCUACUACUGUCAGUAUCGCUAUCGUUGUCAAUAUCACUGUCAAUAUCGCUGUCACUAUCGCUGUCGAUAUCGCUAACAAUAUCACUAUCGCUGUUAAUAUUGCUAUCACUGUCAAUAUCACUCAAUAUCGCUAUCACUGUCAAUAUCUCUAUCGCUGUCAAUAUCUCGAUUGCUACUACUGUCAAUAUCGCUAUCGUUGUCAAUAUCGCUGUCACUAUCGCUGUUAAUAUUGCAAUCACUCAAUAUCGCUAUCACUGUCACUAUCGCUGUCAAUAUCUCGAUCGCUACUACUGUCAAUAUCGCUAUCGCUGUCAAUAUCUCGAUCGCUACUACUGUCAAUAUUGCUAUCGUUGUCAAUAUCGCUGUUAAUAUUGCUAUCACUCAAUAUCGCUAUCACUGUCACUAUCGCUGUCAAUAUCUCUAUAAUUGUCAAUAUUUCUAUCGUUAUCACUAUCAUUGUCAAUAUCUCUAUCACUAUCACGAUAACUGUCAAUAUUUCUAUCACUGUCAAUAUCUCUAUCGUUAUCAAUAUCACUAUCACUGUCAAUAUCACUAUCAUUGUCAAUUUCUCUGUCGCUAUCACUGUCAAUAUCUCUAUUGCUGUCAAUAUCUUGAUCACUGUCAAUAUCUUGAUCACUGUCAAUAUCUCGAUCGCUGUCAAUAUUUCUAUUGCUGUCAAUAUCUCUAUCAAUAUCGCUAUCGCUGUCAAUAUCGCUAUCACUGUCAAUAUCUCUAUCGCUAUCAUUGUAAAUAAUGCUAUUACUGUCAAUAUCUCUAUCGCUAUUACUGUCAAUAUCGCUAUCGACAUCGCUAUCACUGUCCAUAUCUCUAUCGCUGUCAAUAUCUCUAUCGCUACCACUGUCGAUAUCGUUGUCAAUAUCUCUUUCGCUAUCACUGUCACUAUCGCUAUCACUGUCAAUAUCGCUGUCAAUAUUGCUAUCGCUGUCAAUAUUGCUAUCGCUGUCAAUAUUGCUAUCGCUGUCAAUAUUGCUAUCGCUGUCAUUAUCGCUAUCGCUGUCAAUAUCACUGUCACUAUCUCUAUCGCUCUCAAUAUUUCUAUCGUUAUCACUAUCAUAUCUCUCACGAUCACUGUCAAUAUCGCGAUCACUGUCAAUAUUUCUAUCGCUGUCAAUAUCUCUAUCGUUAUCAAUGUCGCUAUCGCAGUCAAUAUCUCUAUUGCUAUCACUGUCAAUAUCAAUGUUGUUAUCGCAGUCAAUAUCUAUAUUGCUAUCACUGUCAAUAUCAAUGUUGUUAUCGCAGUCAAUAUCUCUAUUGCUAUCACUGUCAAUAUCGCUACCAAUAUCGCUAUCGCUAUCAAUAUUUCUAUCACUGUCAAUAUUUCUAUCACUGUCAAUAUUUCUAUUGCUGUCAAUAUCGCUGUCAAUAUCGCUAUCGCUGUCAAUAUCACUACCAAUAUCUCUAUCGCUAUCACUGUAAAUAAUGCUAUCACUGUCAAUAUCGCUAUUACUGUCAAUAUCUCUAUCGCUAUCACUGUCAAUAUCUAUCACUGUCAAUAUCACUUUCACUGUCGCUGUCAAUAUUUCUAUCGCUGUCAAUAUUUCUAUCGCUGUCAAUAUCUCUAUUGUAUCAAUAUCACUAUCAUUGUCUCUAUCACUGUCAAUAUCACUAUCAUUGUCAAUUUCUCUGUCACAAUCACUAUCAAUAUCUCUAUCACUGUCAAUAUCUAUCACUGUCAAUAUCACUGUCAAUAUCACUUUCACUGUCGCUGUCAAUAUUUCUAUCGCUGUCAAUAUUUCUAUCGCUGUCAAUAUCUCUCUUGUAUCAAUAUCACUAUCAUUGUCUCUAUCACUGUCAAUAUCACUAUCAUUGUCAAUUUCUCUGUCACAAUCACUAUCAAUAUCUCUAUCACUGUCAAUGUCGCGAUCACUGUCAAUAUUUCUAUCGCUGUCAAUAUCUCUAUCGUUAUCAAUAACGCUAUCGUAGUCAAUAUCUCUAUCGCUAUCACUGUCAAUAUCGCUAUCGCUAUCACUGUCUAUUGCUGUCAAUAUCGCUAUCACUGUCAAUAUCACUACCAAUAUCACUGUCAAUAUCGCUAUCACUGUCAAUAUCACUACCAAUAUCACUGUCAAUAUCGCUAUCACUGUCAAUAUCACUACCAAUAUCACUGUCAAUAUCGCUAUCACUGUCAAUAUCACUACCAAUAUCACUGUCAAUAUCGCUAUCACUGUCAAUAUCACUACCAAUAUCACUGUCAAUAUCGCUAUCACUGUCAAUAUCACUACCAAUAUCACUGUCAAUAUCGCGAUCACUGUCAAUAUCUCUAUAACUGUCAAUAUUUAUAUCGCUGUCAAUAUCGCUAUCACUGUCAAUAUUUAUAUCGCUGUCAAUAUCUCUAUCGCUAUCACUGUCAAUAUUGCUAUCACUGUAAAUAAUGCAAUCGCUGUCAAUAUCUCUAUCGCUAUUACUGUCAAUAUCUCUAUCGCUAUCAACAUUGCUAUCACUGUCCAUAUCGCUAUCACUGUCAAUAUUGCUAUCACUGUCAGUAUAUGUCACUGUAAAUAUCUCUAUCGCUGUCACUGUCAAUAUCUCUAUUGCUAUCACUGUCAAGAUCGCUAUCACAGUCAAUAUCUCUAUCGCUGUCAAUAUCUAUCGCUAUAGCUGUCAGUAUCUCUAUCGCUGUCAAUAUCUCUAUCGCUGUCACUGUCAAUAUCUCUAUCAAUUUCACUAUCACUGUCACUGUCAAUAUUGUUAUCAAUAUUGCUAUCACUGCAAACCCCCUGGGCGCACACUGGUUGAAUCAACGUUGUUUCUUCAUGAGCCUGAACCAACAUGAAAUAGACAUUAAACUGAUGUCUGUGCCCAGUGGGAACAUCCCACCUAAUCUUAUCAUAAUACCAUGUACAGUAGAGGUGUGCUGAGUAGUCGGACAAAACGAGUAUCGUAAAGGAAUAUGGGCAAUUUUCUGGAUAUGAUUAUGAUCCGAGUAUUUCUUUAAAUGAUCCGUGAUCGGGGGAAAAAAAGUAAUUUUCGGGUGCCAGAAGGCAUCUUUCUCAUGUCAGUCAGUCACACCCCUAAUAACAACUUGUUCUCAACUUGCCUACCUGGUUAAAUAAAGGUGAAAAAAUAAAUAAAAGAUGAGGUGCUACAUAGGCAAACUAGCCAGUUGAAUUAUUUAGACUGUCUGUAAAGAGAAGGGCAGGCUAUACGUUGAUUCUGCUGCUCUAAUUGGAUAGAAUGAAGCUCUAUUUCUUGGUCCACUUGCUUCAUAAUUUCACCCAAUCGCUUUCACUUCUCUGUUUCGGUCUAAUCAGUCAUAUUCCUGCUGCCCAAUGUUCCCUCUAAGCUGCACACGUGCACGGCUGUGCACCUCCUCCAGGACUGCCGCCCAGAAGAAAUUAGAGGUCGACCGAUUUAUAAUUUUUCAACACCGAUACCGAUUAUUGGAGGACCAAAAAAAGCCGAUACGGAUUAAUCGGCCUUUUUCUUUUUUUUCUUUUAUUUAUUUAUAUAUAUAUAUUUGUAAUAAUGACUAUUACAACAAUACUGAAUGAACAAUGAACACUUUUAUUUUAACUUAAUAUAAUACAUCAAUAAAAUCAAUUUUGUCUCAAAUAAAUAAUGAAACAUGUUCAAUUUGGUUUAAAUAAUGUAAAAACAAAGUGUUGGAGAAGAAAGUAAAACUGCAAUAUGUGCCAUGUAAAAAAGCUAACGUUUAAGUUCCUUGCUCAGAACAUGAGAACAUAUGAAAGCUGGUGGUUCCUUUUAACAUGAGUCUUCAAUAUUCCCAGGUAAGAAGUUUUAGGUUGUAGUUAUUAUAGGACUAUUUCUCUCUAUGCCAUUUGAAUUUCAUAUACCUUUGACUAUUGGAUGUUCUAAUAGGUACUUUAGUAUUGCCAGCCUAAUCUCGGGAGUUGAUAGGCUUGAAGUCAUAAAGAGCUGCUGGCAAGCACAGGAAAGUGCUGUUUGAAUGAAUGCUUACGAGCCUGCUGCUGCCUACCACCGCUCAGUCAGACUGCUCUAUCAAAUCAUAGACUUAAUUAUAAUAUAAUAACACAGAAAUACGAGCCUUAGGUCAUUAAUAUGGUCAAAUCCGGAAACUAUCAUUUCGAAAACAAAACGUUUAUUCUUUCAGUGAAAUAUGGAACCGUUCCGUAUUUUAUCUAACUGGUGGCAUCCCUAAGUCUAAAUAUUGCUGUUACAUUGCACAACCUUCAAUAUUAUGUCAUAAUUAUGUAACAUUUUGGCAAAUUAGUUAGCAACGAGCCAGGUGGCCCAAACUGUUGCAUAUACCCUGACUCUGCGUGCAAUGAAUGCAAGAGAAGUGACUCAAUUUCACCUGGUUAAUAUUGCCUGCUAACAUGAAUUUCUUUUAACUAAAUAUGCAGGUUAAAAAAAAUGAUACUUCUGUGUAUUGAUUUUAAGAAAGGCAUUGAUGUUUAUGGUUAGGUACAGUCGUGCAAUGAUUGUGCUUUUUCGCAAAUGCGCUUUUGUUAAAUCAUCCCCCGUUUGUCGAAGUUGGUUGUCUUUGUUAGGAAGAAAUGGUCUUCACACAGUUCGCAACGAGCCAGGCGACCCAAACUGCUGCAUAUACCCUGACUCUGUUGCACAGAACGCAAGAGAAGUGACACAAUUUCCCUAGUUAAAAGAACUUCAUGUUAGCAGGCAACUUCAUGUUAGCAGGCAAUAUUAACUAAAUAGGUUUAAAAAUAUAUACUUGUGUAUUGAGUUGAAGAAAGGUGUUGAUGUUUAUGGUUAGGUACACAUUGGUGCAACGACAGUGUUUUUUUUCCGCAAAUGCGCUUGUUAAAUCACCCGUUUGGCGAAGUAGGCUGUGAUUCAAUGAUAAAUUAACAGGCACCACAUCGAUUAUAUGCAACGCAGGACACGUUAGAUAAACUAGUAAUAUCAUCAACCAUGUGUAGUUAACUAGUGAUUAUGUUAAGAUUGAUUGUUUUUUUAUAAGAUCAAUUUAAUGCUAGCUAGCACCUUACCUUGGCUCCUUGUUGCACUCGCAUAACAGGUAGUCAGCCUGCCACCCAGUCUCCUCGUGGAGUGCAAUGUAAUCGGCCAUAAUCGGUGUCAAAAAAAUGCCGACUACCGAUUGUUAUGAAAACUUGAAAUCGGCCCUAAUUAAUCGGCCAUUCCGAUUAAUCAGUCGACCUCUAGAAGAAAUACCAGGCUGCGCAGAGAUACAAGAGAUUGAACUUCAUUGAGUUAGCCCAAUUAGUUUGCACUAUAUAGAUCGAUUUUUCUGUGAUCGAAUCAACAUUACAUCAUCCCCUUUUCAAUGCAACAAUCCAAACCAAAUGUAACUUUGCAAGAUUGAGUCUAUGAUUAUUUUUUCGUAGGCAGAGCCAGAGCGCAACGAAGUAGAAUUCUAUUGGCUGGGUAGCCCACGAGCAGUCUUUCAAUCACCUGAAAGUGAAUGUGCUUUUCAGAUCAGUUCAGAUCAGAGUACAGAGCUGCGCGUGAGCACAUUUGUUGAUAUUCUUUGCUAGUUAGCGAGUUAUUAGCCGGGUUAUAGAUGCGUAUAGGUCAGCAAUGGGGAGUUACUGCUUCCCACAAGAGCACAAUCUGUAGGCUACAUUUCAAGCUGUCUUUAAAAAGUCAGUCAGGUAAAAAGCUUAUGUCUUAAUUAAAGGGGCAGUGUUGUAUUUUGAGACCGGCUUGAAUAUGCUAAUAGGCAGAGGGGUUUCCUACAUUGUCUAAUUCUCUGUAUAGUAAUAAUAAUACAUUGUAUAUUGUAAAGUGGUUUCUUGCAUUAUAGACAAUACAAUGCAAUUUACAGUCACCUAUUUGGCCCAUGGUGUUACAGACCAAGUAAAAAAUCAUUAACUAAUGUCAAGCCCUGCAUAAUAUAAAAACGUUUUUAAAAGUCUCAUGCAAUGUAGGCCUGCAUUGAACACCACAGGCUACUGUAAACUAUAUCAUAGAAAUCCAAAGCUAUUUCCACGUGAAAAUAGCUUAUUGCCUACUGUCUAAAACUGUAAGGGUACAGCCUCACUGUUCACCUUAAACUCGCAUUCAAGUUUCCGCUCACAAGAACAAAAAUUUGCUCAGUGCCCCAAAAGAAUUGAGGGAACAUUGCUGCUGCCUCUUGUUAGCCUGCAACUAUGGUGAAUCAAAUGGCAAGGAUGUUUGCUAUCACGCUAUCAAUGUGCAUAAUAUCUAAAAAGAAGGGAAAGUUUGGGAACAAAGAUUCUGAUUGAUAGCAAACUGCCCGCUACAAUUUGAGGACACAGAGCCCUCCACGGCUCCUCAUCUGCAGCUUGUUUGGUCUGGAAACGUGCAGGGAGGGAGCUUAUUUGCCAAUAUCUACUUAGGCAUAUUAAAACAUUUCAUUUUUUUCCCGAUCACAAGUAACAUCCAAUCCAACUAUCAACUGUCUAUUUACAGAUACGAUUAUGGCCAUGUCAGCACACCCCUAAUACCACCACAAGGUCCAUAUAUCACUGCCUAAACAGGACAUCAUUUAUUAACAACACAAGCAGGGACCUUCAUCCAGUCUGUUUCCAGCUGUACCAUAUUUUAUAUAUGCCAUUUAGCAGACUUAGUCAUGCGACUUAGUCAUGCGUGCAUUUUUUUUUUUUUAUGUAUGUAUGGGAAUCGAACCCACCGUCCUGGCAUUGCAAGAGCCAUGCUCUACCAACUGAGCUACAGAGGACCACAUAUUUAGCAUUGUCUAUACAGUCUGACCUCAGCCAACCUCAUGCAAUACAUUCAUCUCUGACACAGAAGAUGUUAAGGACAGUGUACAGGGUGGCGUACCGUCAGGUGACCAGAGCCGUGCCAGUCUCACACUCUUACCCAGAAUGCUGCCCAGGUUGGCGACGACUCCACUCACACAACUGUAAUCAAGCGGUGUGUGGCCAGUCCUGUGUGAACGGAGGAACAUGUUUAAUACCCAACCACUGCGCCUGUCCUCUGGGAUGGAUGGGUCGCCACUGCCAAACAGAUGUGGAUGAGUGCCGUGAGCAGCAGCCCUGUUCUCAUCAGUGUGUGAACAUGGCAGGCAGCUACCACUGUGUGUGUAGAGAGGGCUACAGGCUGGCAGGAGACACACACUCCUGUGAGAACCUUCCUCCUCCUCCUCCUGCCUCUUCCACCCACCCCAGUCAAGAAGCAGCAAACGAUCACAUACCCCCCUCCAGUGAUACAGGUGGAGGGUUUGGGCUGACUGAGAACGUCACAGAGGAGGUCCAGAGCCUGAAGAACAGAGUAGAGCUGCUGGAACAGAAGCUCCAGUUGGUCCUGGCCCCUUUCACCAGUCUGUUCCCCAUGUCGCUGGACGAGGGCGUGUCUGAGAAAACCAGCUUCCUGUCCCACUCCUUCCAGCAGCUGGAUCGCAUCGACUCGCUCAGCGAACAGGUCGGCUUCCUCGAGGAACGCCUCGGAACAUGUUCCUGCCAAGAGAAUUAGAAACAACAGGACUGGGUCACCCUCACCAACUAGAUAUCUCCACACAAGUCUGAGUCCACAACACAAUAACAAUAGGAAUGGAAUGAAUGCCCCAGCCCAGCGAUAUGGAGGAGGAGCAAUAUUAGUAGAACAUAGGCCUACUCAGUGUUUUGUGUAUUCCUGUUCCUAUACCAGCCCAAAGGCUAACUUGAACACUAGCUCUAUGAUGGGCAACCCUGUCAUGUGCUAUAUGUCAGUGACACAUACAACCCAUUUAAGUGUCCCUUUCUCCCAACAGCAUAAUUUCAUGUCAUUGCUGUAUUACGGAGACAUAGAAGAGCAUAUAGCAUCACCACCUGUGACGGUUACAGGGGCCUCAUUCCCCCAUUAGCACAUUACCUGAGAGUCAAAGUUCAAACUGCCAAUUUCACUCUGAAGGAUCUGGUUUCCAUGUUUUAGGUUCACAUCAGUCCACUGUCAGAGCCCCCAUGGUGGGGUUUGCAUGGACAUCUGUAUUUAUGUAUUUAAGUUAGAAUUCCUUGUGCUUAUUUCAUAGAGAUACAAUAGACAGUUUACUUUUUUUUUACCUUGUUUUGUAACUUUUUGUAAUAAAAUUGAUUAAAUCAAAAAUGUCUGGUAGAAGAUUUGUGUGUGUGCUCCAC